GCAUAUAUCUGCAGUUGUGGAAACAAAACAGUGUCUACAUGAAGUUGCUGCGUGCUCAUGGCCUUCCCAAGGGAAUCCAAGGCAAAGAGGAAGCCCCACCCAUGGAAGUGCGGGAUAAAGCAUUGCUGAGUCUGCAUAUUGUUGGAGGAACUGAGACUCAUGACCAGCUGACCAACAGAUCUUCUCAUGGUGGUGGCCAGGCUCAGGGCUCAGGUGUCCUCAGAGCUUGAAUAAAUCCAUGCAUCCAGGGUUUUGUGGGUCAUGGGGGGCUGGAGCCAAUCCCAGCUGAAAGUGUACAAGAGUUGGGACACACCCUGGACAGCAUAUCACAGCAUGAACAUACAGGGUAACUCUCACAUUCACAAUUCAAAGUCUCCCAUCAACCCUAACCAAAAUCUGCAUGUCUUUAGACUGUGGGAGGAAGAGUAUGAGGAGAAAAAGAAAGGAAGACACAGAAAAAUCGAAACAGGGAUUCAAAUCAGGAACCCUCUUGAUGUGUGGUGACAGUGCUGAACUAUGUGACUACACCAUCAAACUCGUUCUUUAGCGAUAAAACAAUGACACAACUUUCCCUUUUCUAAAGGGUCCUGCACAUUACAAAUCUAAAACUCACUGUAGAUAAAUUCA